UAGGCAGCAACAAGAAAGCGUGCUAGUUAUGAGUUCCGCUUGCUUGCUGAUACAAUGCUGCCAGAGCAAAAUGUCAAGAACAGUUCAGUUUAGCGUAGUCUAUAAACUGAUCUACACGUGACAUUACAUUG